CUCAGAAACCUGUGUGAGCACUAUAAUCAACCGACCAGUUUUUUUUCUUUGGUGUUUCAAGAUCUAGCCCGAAAUAACAAAAACCAGACGCAGGACAUGCGGCCACAUGCACUGAUGGGCUGGAGGUUGAAAUAAAUCAGAAUGGCCACAGUGGACAAGAGGAAUGGAAGUUUACUGGAAAGUCGUUCACCCAUUCACAACCUGACGGUGGUGAGCUAUGUUAGUAGCCACAGCU